GGUGACUCAGUGGUAGAGUGCUUGCCUUGCAUGCAUGAGGCCCUGGGUUUGAUUCCGCAGCACCA
rnacentral:tRNA from 1 species